AGCGAACGCUGGCGGCAGGCCUAACACAUGCAAGUCGAACGGACCCUUCGGGGUUAGUGGCGGACGGGUGAGUAACACGUGGGAACGUGCCUCUAGGUUCGGAAUAGCUCCUGGAAACGGGUGGUAAUGCCGAAUGUGCCCUUCGGGGGAAAGAUUUAUCGCCUUUAGAGCGGCCCGCGUCUGAUUAGCUAGUUGGUGAGGUAAUGGCUCACCAAGGCGACGAUCAGUAGCUGGUCUGAGAGGAUGACCAGCCACAUUGGGACUGAGACACGGCCCAAACUCCUACGGGAGGCAGCAGUGGGGGAUCUUGCGCAAUGGGCGAAAGCCUGACGCAGCCAUGCCGCGUGGAUGAUGAAGGUCUUAGGAUUGUAAAAUCCUUUCACCGGUGAAGAUAAUGACUGUAGCCGGAGAAGAAGCCCCGGCUAACUUCGUGCCAGCCGCCGCCGUAAAAC
rnacentral:rRNA from 1 species